GCGGGCUGAUCUACAGGCUCGACUUUUUGUUUUGGAGGUUGCUGCUCGUCGUUGGUUAUAUGGGGAGGCGUUUUGGUGGUCCAAGUUUCCUAGGCAGUGCUUUUGCUGGCAGGGAAAGUUCAGAGGAAUAUGCUUUGAGAGGUGUCAUAAUAUGAAAGGAAACAAUUAGUUCUGCCCAAGGGUGUUUCUUUGUACCGGGGCAUUGUCUCCAUAUGCUAGAUGAAAUCCAUGCCUCCCACAGUUAUUGAAGGUGUGUUGCUUCCAUUUGCAAGUAAGAAAGUAAUGCUCCUAAUGAAUUUGCUACAGUUUUUGUGCUCUGCUGAACUUUCCUUUAUUUUGUCAUUUUGGCGGGUGUAUUCCAUCGGAUUUUGCAGAAUCUACCUGACUACACAAGGUUUUGCAGGUAGCAUCAGCAAGAAUUGUUGGGCUUAAAAAUCCAGGAUGGUGUUGUUAAUGCAACAUCUCUGUUUGAAGAGUUGGUGACUGUAGUUUUUGGAAACUAUAGUGAUGGGCUAAUCUACCAGACUGUGGAGCUGCCUCAGAAUGGCGAGUUUUCUUGUGCCAAUGAAACUGGUUCUCAUAGAUCGUAAAGGAUGCUUCUAUUAUGUUUAUUUGGCUUCAACAUUACCUAUAGCAAGAUGCAUUUUUUUCGCUUGUUUUUUUCCCUGCAAGACCUUAUUCCUUGCACUCUUGAGUCUUUUGAGAAGGAGAAAAUUAUUGUUGGGAGGGAAAAAGACUGAUCAUGAGUUCCUGAAACAGAGUGCAACAGUGAAGAACAAGAGGCUUUUUUGUUGAUGAGUCGGCCUAAAUAUAUUUUAGAUGAUUGCCAAAAAGUUGUUAUUGAAGGAUUGGAGUCAAGCUUAGGAUCAGUUUAUCCUAUGGGUCUGUACUACAAGGUUGAGUGCGUCAACCGACAACGCAGAAAUCAGGUUUAUAGACGAGUGCUUUAUGCCGGGGUGGACGAGCUUCCGUUAGGCCAUUGAUUUCCCAAUGAAGGAGCUUUGAGGCAAGCACUGCAAUGAUGUAUAUUUGUAUAUGGCAUAAUCUGUAGGAACCCUCUCCUUGUUUCCUUUUGUUCUUGGUUUUGCUCCAGUUGAUUACUGCCCUAUGAGAUCUGCACAGACAAAAUUCAUGUUGAUUUGUUUAGUUGUGGCAUGUAUCGCAGCUACACCAGUCUGAUAAUUUAGUCCUCAAAUAAGGUAGUUUCCGUCUCCCCUUUACAUGUGAUGGACAUACGUGCUUGUUGCUUGCCGUUGCUGAAGCGAGGCCUCUUAAGUGUACUUUUGUGUUCUCCCUGAUUAUGUUAAUCAGGCCGUAUGUGUUCUGUUGGUCUAUUUUCAUUUGUCUACCUCUACAGAAUUUCAAAGAUGUAAUUUUCUAUCAUGUAGUUGCCUCUUUCUUCAUAUACUAACCCUCUCCUAAAUGAUAGAUGAGGCAGGUGACUUAUCUCAUGUAUUUUCUUUUCUGUAAAUUACAACAAGUCUAUUUUAGUCAACUUAAGGGUAUGUUGAAUAUGACUGUUAAUGAAGAUAGUCAUUCUUGUUAUUGAAUGUGCACAAUCUGAUUCAUUUUAAAGUAGUUCCUUAUCUUUAUGACUAGACUAGGCUGCUACUUUAGCGAGUGUUUCACUUCAACACAGAUUGAUGCAAGAAAGAAAGAAUUCUUUUGCAAUAAAGCAAGCAUUGAGUGCCCAAAGCAGGAGAGCUUGAAUUUUUUGCCGACGUAAAUUUAAGGUAACCUUCUCCAUGCAUAUUUUUUUUCAACCAUUUGUAUCUAAAUAUCAGUAAUCAUUUUGAACUAUAUGCUCAGGCCGACCUUUUUAUUUGAUGUUAUUGGUGUGGUGUGUGUAUAAUUGUUAACUUGGUUGCGGUUUUAAUAAUAGGUCGUCACACAUUACAGAAAACUAUUUUCCAUUCUGUGUCUCUAUGCUCAUUUUGUGCCCGGGUGCAGCUGUGAAGGAACACUACAGGUAGAGAAGAAAGAAAGGAAGAAUGAUGGUAAGAACCACUGAGAUACCGAGUCCGGCCAGCCAGAUGAGUAUCAGGAGUGUUUCUUCAUUGGAAGUGAUGACAAAAAUUGUCCUUUAGAGUAUAUUAGUUGUUUAAUCAUCAAUGAGUAGACUAACGCAUACAUUUUUUUGGACUGCACCCAUAUAGUUUGUCUUUGCUGAAUAUACUAUAUUUACUUCAUUUCUCUAUUGAGUUAGCAAUGGCAAUAUGAUUGAUUUAUAUACUAUAUAAUUUGCACCCAUAUAAUGAUCAAUUAACCAUGUUUCUCUAUAUAAUUUGUCUUUGCUGAAUAUACUAUAUUUGUUUGGUCUGCACCCAUAUAAUGAUCAAUUAACUCCUGAAAAUACCCUUUCCAGACAUAAUUUCUUUUCAUCAUUGUUAAGGCUGAUUUUACCUAUUUCACUUAAAUGGCGACCUCCCUGCACUCCCAUUUUUCUGCUUAGGAUUCUCAUUUAAUUGGUGAGCACUCAGAUUUGGAAUAUCAGCUCUUUAGUACUGGUUUAUCAUUUUAAGAAAAUAGGAGCAAUGUGAUUUUGUUCUCUAGAGACUAGAAUUGAAUAGUUAGUCCUUUUAGUACUAUCCUACUACCAUUUGUAGCUAACAGAUGCAUCAGUUCGACUAGGCAUUAUCAUGUAUUGUACCGUAGUAUCUUUUUUGCAUAGAGUAAAUACCUACUUCUGCUGCAGGUUACUUUUCUUUAUAAAAUUUGGUUCAGGAUGCCGUUUUACCUGUUGUAAUACCUUCAGCAUAGAAGCAGUAGUGGUCUGCUCCUCCAAAGAUCUAUAGCUUGUGGAUGCGGCGGAUGUGGCACAGGGAGCAGAUGAAUUGGGAAUAAGAGGACCCCCGGCGCGCGCACAAAUUGUUUCUACCUGACGGCUGAUAGUGAGGAUGCCUCUGACCUGUCCCGAGAAGGUUCGAGCCGAAGUACGACUUGUACAACGCAUCACCAAUUCGUCCGACAGUGUAAAAUGCGUUUGUGUUAGCUGAGUGAAAAUUAGAGAUCAGCCUGGUGGUACUUUAUUAUUUUAUUCUAUAGCUUGAUCUGCCAAAUGCUAUUAAGGAAAUGAAGUUUCUUCCUCGAUCAA